rnacentral:rRNA from 1 species
AUUGAGCGCUGGCGGCAGGCCUAACACAUGCCAGUCGAACGGUAACAGGAAGAAGCUUGCUUCUUUGCUGACGAGUGGCGGACGGGUGAGUAAUGUCUGGGAAACUGCCUGAUGGAGGGGGAUAACUACUGGAAACGGUAGCUAAUACCGCAUAACGUCGCAAGACCAAAGAGGGGGACCUUCGGGCCUCUUGCCAUCGGAUGUGCCCAGAUGGGAUUAGCUAGUAGGUGGGGUAACGGCUCACCUAGGCGACGAUCCCUAGCUGGUCUGAGAGGAUGACCAGCCACACUGGAACUGAGACACGGUCCAGACUCCUACGGGAGGCAGCAGUGGGGAAUAUUGCACAAUGGGCGCAAGCCUGAUGCAGCCAUGCCGCGUGUAUGAAGAAGGCCUUCGGGUUGUAAAGUACUUUCAGCGGGGAGGAAGGGAGUAAAGUUAAUACCUUUGCUCAUUGACGUUACCCGCAGAAGAAGCACCGGCUAACUCCGUG